GGGGCUAUAGCGCAGUUGGUAGCGCGCUUCCAUGGCAUGGAAGAGGUCGCGGGUUCGAUUCCCGCUAGCUCCA
rnacentral:tRNA from 3 species